rnacentral:rRNA from 1 species
CCUACGGGGGGCUGCAGUGAGGAAUAUUGGUCAAUGGCCGGAAGGCUGAACCAGCUAUGUCGCGUGAAGGUCAGUGCCCUAUGGGCGUUAAACUUCUUUUGUGCGGGAGCAAUAAUGGUCACGUGUGGCCAGACGAGAGUACCGUACGAAUAAGCAUCGGCUAACUCCGUGCCAGCAGCCGCGGUAAUACGGGGGAUGCAAGCGUUAUCCGGAUUUAAUGGGUUUAAAGGGUGCGUAGGCUGUGAGGUAAGUCAUCGGUGAAAUGCCCCCGCUCAACGGGGUGAAGUGCCAUUGAUACUGGCUUGCUGGAAUGCGGAUGCCGUGAGAGGAAUGUGUGGUGUAGCGGUGAAAUGCAUAGAUAUCACACAGAACACCGAUUGCGAAGGCAUCUCACGAAUCCGCGAUUGACGCUGAUGCACGAAAGCGUGGGUAUCAAACAGGAUUAGAUACCCGUGUAGUC